GCAUUGCUCACGAGUCUCAAACAGGACGAAACAGCUGUCCAGUGC
rnacentral:hammerhead_ribozyme from 1 species